rnacentral:rRNA from 1 species
UACGGAGGGUGCGAGCGUUAAUCGGAAUUACUGGGCGUAAAGCGCGCGUAGGCGGUUUGUUAAGUCAGCUGUGAAAGCCCCGGGCUCAACCUGGGAACUGCAGUUGAUACUGGCCGACUGGAGUACGAGAGAGGGAGGUAGAAUUCCAUGUGUAGCGGUGAAAUGCGUAGAUAUAUGGAGGAAUACCGGUGGCGAAGGCG